rnacentral:rRNA from 1 species
GUCUACGGCCAUACCACCCUGAACACGCUCAAUCUCUUCUGAUCUUGGAAGCUAAGCAGGGUCAGGCCUGGUUGGUACUUGGAUGGGAGAAUGCCGUUGUGUGAGCCAUAGCCA